rnacentral:rRNA from 1 species
GACGAACGCUGGCGGCGUGCCUAAUACAUGCAAGUAGAACGCUGAAGGAAGGAGCUUGCUCUUUCCGGAUGAGUUGCGAACGGGUGAGUAACGCGUAGGUAACCUGCCUGGUAGCGGGGGAUAACUAUUGGAAACGAUAGCUAAUACCGCAUAACAGUAGAUAUCGCAUGAUAGCUGCUUAAAAGGUGCAAUUGCACCACUACCAGAUGGACCUGCGUUGUAUUAGCUAGUUGGUGAGGUAACGGCUCACCAAGGCAACGAUACAUAGCCGACCUGAGAGGGUGAUCGGCCACACUGGGACUGAGACACGGCCCAG